AUUAAAUUAAAAAUAGAAAAUAAAAAAUCCCUUGUGUUUUUCUCUCUCUACCGUUCAUUCUCUUUCCCAAAUGAAAACCAUGGCAGCCAUGGCAGUCACCACCAUGGUCAUCCCCUUUCUCUCUCCUCAUCCCCUUCACUACCCCUAUUCCUAUUCCUCUCCCCUUCACCAACCUAUGAAAAUAAACAGACCCAAUUCGCAGAGCCUUAUAUACGGGAUUUGAUCUGGUGCAUCACAACUCCAUCAAACAAGAAACUGUAACAGUGAUACUAAAAUUGGAGGUGGGGCUGCAUUGAAGACCCGCUUGCCGCGGCUGUUACGGCCGUGCUCCGAUCGAUUUUCGUCUUCCCCUGCUUUUUCCGCCGAUGCACCUCCUCUCCUUCUCAAUUUUUCGGCACCGCCGCAGCAGGUUGGUUGUCGGUAUGAGUUGUUGUUGCUUCAAUCACCUCUUCAUUAAUUUCAAGAAAUCAAAAUCAAUUAUUGUGAAGGUAUAUCUUGGAAGAUUAAUUUGGAGAUGAAAUUCUCGAAUGUCUGUGGAAUUGAUGAGAGGGAUUUUGUCAGUGUUAUUGAAAGGGACUAAGGGUAAAUUAAUUAGUUGAAGUAACCCAAUUGCACUCCUCCUCUCCAAUUGUAUUUAUGGUUGAUUUAAUUUCCAGAAUUUUAGUUCUCUCUCCAUAUGUUCCCUGAACUUGUGAGGGUUUGUUUGAUUUUUUUUCCCCAAAAUUUGUAAGGGAAAGAGGAGAGGAAGCUCAGAAAAUCAGAGAAGUUGCAGAGGCAGGCACAUGCGAGGUAGGAGACGACAGUAGACAUAUCGAUGGUGUGGCAGGGAUUAGACAUCCAUGGAAGAAGGAGAAAGGGAAGAUCCAUGGAAGAAAGAGAAAGGGAAGAUAAAAGGGGCGAGGAGGAAGGUUAGUGGUGGGUUGGCAGUUGAUUUUUUUUAAUAGUAAAUUAGAUUAAUUAGGAGUUAAUUAGUUUAGUUAAGAAAAAAGUUAACGGAAAAGUUAACGGAGCUGACGGAAAAUCUUCAUUAAUGGCAUAUUGUGUAUUAAGUUUAUGAAUAA